CCUACGGGGGGCAGCAGUGAGGAAUAUUGGUCAAUGGCCGCGAGCCUGAACCAGCCAAGUAGCGUGAAGGAUGACUGCCCUACGGGUUGUAAACUUCUUUUAUACAGGAAUAAAGUGAGGCACGUGUGCCUUUUUGCAUGUACUUUAUGAAUAAGGAUCGGCUAACUCCGUGCCAGCAGCCGCGGUAAUACGGAGGAUCCGUGCGUUAUCCGGAUUUAUUGGGUUUAAAGGGAGCGUAGACGGGUUGUUAAGUCAGGUGUGAAAGUUUGCGGCUCAACCGUAAAAUUGCAACUGAUACUGGUGAUCUUGAGUACAGUUGAGGUAGGCGGAAUUCGUGGUGUAGCGGUGAAAUGCUUAGAUAUCACGAAGAACUCCGAUUGCGAAGGCAGCUUGCUGAACUGCCACUGACGUUGAUGCUCGAAAGUGUGGGUAUCGAACAGGAUUAGAUACCCGGGUAGUC
rnacentral:rRNA from 1 species